UACGUAGGGAGCAAGCGUUGUCCGGAAUCAUUGGGCGUAAAGCGCGCGUAGGUGGCCUCAUAAGUCCGCUGUGAAAGUCAAAGGCUCAACCUUUGAAAGCCGGUGGAUACUGUGAGGCUAGAGUACGGAAGAGGCGAGUGGAAUUCCUGGUGUAGCGGUGGAAUGCGCAGAUAUCAGGAGGAACACCGGUGGCGAAGGCGGAUCUCUGGGCCAUUACUGACGCUGAGGAGCGAAAGCGUGGGGAGCGAACAGG
rnacentral:rRNA from 1 species